UGUUUGUCCUGAGGAGUAGCAAGACUUGUGACAGCCGGGUAUAAAACCAUUCAGACACUUGACAGACAUUAGAGUUCAAGCAGCUUUCAACGGGGACGGCGGUAGAAAGUACGGCCAUCAAAAUGAGAACUACCAUCAUCCUCAUACUGUUAGUUGCAACCUCGGUAGCUGUUACACAUGCUCAAAUUAUUCCCCGGCAGGGUACUUUUUUGACCGCUGGAUUUUUAGUCGGUGUGCUAGGAUUCUGGUUAGGAGCAAAGAAAGCGCUAGAAGAAUGCAGGGACCAGGCAACGAAACGGCCGCCAUGUACAGAAGAAGCAGAGACAGAUACCAACGGUUCUACCAUAACUGGGAGUUACUGCAAGUGUGACUGCUAAUGAAACCCUCAACUCUCCCCAAACGCUUAAGGCUUAUGAAAACAGGAGCAUGAUUGCUUUUGCUUACGUUAAUAUCAAUAAAGAUGUUUCAUGAUUACUUAUAUUA